UACGGAGGGUGCAAACGUUGCCCGGAAUCAUUGGGCGUAAAGCGCACGUAGGCGGCUCGUUAAGUCGGAUGUGAAAGCCCUGGGCUCAACCCAGGAAGUGCAUACGAAACUGGCGAGCUUGAGUAUGGAAGAGGGUCGCGGAAUUCCCGGUGUAGAGGUGAAAUUCGUAGAUAUCGGGAGGAACACCAGUGGCGAAGGCGGCGACCUGGGCCAAUACUGACGCUGAGGU
rnacentral:rRNA from 1 species